AUAUCUUACUUAACUGGUAAUCAACCAAUCUUAUAUCUGAACGCCUUUGACCGCGGAUUGGCUAACAUUUUUUCUUUUAAUGUUCAACGAAGAUUAAUAUCCGGCUGCUUGAGGUUACUCAAUUUCGAAAGACACCUAAGAUUAGCAACAUUGAUGCUUGAAAGUUAAGCUACCAUCUCAGCAAUGAGUACGACAUCAUCGACACUGGUGCAUUACUUUGUAGAACUUGCAGAAGAUUCGCCAUUCACUUGCUCAUUGUACUUCUACAAAUACAACUAUAUAUAAGUUUUUCCGUUUCAAUAUGAAAGUGAUUAAGUGAACAUUUAAGAAUCAAUGCAUUAGACCAUUUCAAUGUUUA